rnacentral:rRNA from 1 species
AGGAUAGAGGCCUACCAUGGUGGUAACGGGUAACGGGGUGUUAGGGCACGACACCGGAGAGGGAGCCUGAGAAACGGCUACCACAUCCAAGGAUGGCAGCAGGCGCGCAAAUUACCCAAUCCCGACACGGGGAGGUAGUGACAAUAAAUAACAAUACGGGGUUCUUUCGGAUCUCGUAAUUGGAAUGAGUACAAUUUAAAUCUCUUAACGAGGAACAAUUGGAGGGCAAGUCUGGUGCCAGCAGCCGCGGUAAUUCCAGCUCCAAUAGCGUAUAUUAAAGUUGUUGCAGUUAAAAAGCUCGUAGUUGAAUUUCGGGGUUAGUAGGUUGGUCAUGCCUCUGGUAUGUACUGGUCUCACUGAUUCCUCCUUCCUGAUGAACCGUAAUGCCAUUAAUUUGGUGUUGCGGGGAAUUUGGACUGUUACUUUGAAAAAGUUAGAGUGUUUAAAGCAAGCUAACGCUUGAAUACAUUAGCAUGGAAUAAUGAAAUAGGACGUUCGAUCCUAUUUUGUUGGUUUCUAGGAUUGACGUAAUGAUUAAUAGGGAUAGUUGGGGGCAUUAGUAUUCAAUUGUCAGAGGUGAAAUUCUUGGAUUUAUUGAAGACUAACUACUGCGAAAGCAUUUGCCAAGGAUGUUUUCAUUAAUCAAGAACGAAAGUUAGGGGAUCGAAGACGAACAGAUACCGUCGUAGUCUUAACCAUAAACUAUGCCGACUAGG